rnacentral:rRNA from 1 species
GUCGAACGGUAGAGGGGGCAACCCCUCGAGAGUGGCGAACGGGUGAGUAAUAUAUCGGAACGUGCCCAGUCGUGGGGGAUAACGUAGCGAAAGUUACGCUAAUACCGCAUACGAUCUACGGAUGAAAGCGGGGGAUCGCAAGACCUCGCGCGAUUGGAGCGGCCGAUAUCAGAUUAGGUAGUUGGUGGGGUAAAGGCUCACCAAGCCAACGAUCUGUAGCUGGUCUGAGAGGACGACCAGCCACACUGGAACUGAGACACGGUCCAGACUCCUACGGGAGGCAGCAGUGGGGAAUUUUGGACAAUGGACGCAAGUCUGAUCCAGCCAUUCCGCGUGCAGGAUGAAGGCCCUCGGGUUGUAAACUGCUUUUGUACGGAACGAAAAGGUCUCUCUUAAUACGGGGGGCUCAUGACGGUACCGUAAGAAUAAGCACCGGCUAACUACGUGCCAGCAGCCGCGGUAAUACGUAGGGUGCAAGCGUUAAUCGGAAUUACUGGGCGUAAAGCGUGCGCAGGCGGUUAUAUAAGACAGAUGUGAAAUCCCCGGGCUCAACCUGGGAACUGCAUUUGUGACUGUAUAGCUAGAGUACGGUAGAGGGGGAUGGAAUUCCGCGUGUAGCAGUGAAAUGCGUAGAUAUGCGGAGGAACACCGAUGGCGAAGGCAAUCCCCUGGACCUGUACUGACGCUCAUGCACGAAAGCGUGGGGAGCAAACAGGAUUAGAUACCCUGGUAGUCCACGCCCUAAACGAU